rnacentral:rRNA from 1 species
UACGGAGGGGGCUAGCGUUGUUCGGAAUUACUGGGCGUAAAGCGCACGUAGGCGGCUUUGUAAGUUAGAGGUGAAAGCCCAGGGCUUAACCCCUGGAAUUGCCUUUAAGACUGCAUCGCUAGAAUCGUGGAGAGGUGAGUGGAAUUCCGAGUGUAGAGGUGAAAUUCGUAGAUAUUCGCAAGAACACCAGGUGGCGAAGGCGGCUCACUGGCCCGGUACUGACGCUGAGGUGCGAAAGCGUGGGGAGCAAACAGG